UAGGGAAUCUUGCACAAUGGGCGAAAGCCUGAUGCAGCGACGCCGCGUGGGGGAUGAAGGCCUUAGGGUCGUAAACCCCUUUCAGUAGGGACGAAAAUGACGGUACCUACAGAAGAAGCUCCGGCCAACUACGUGCCAGCAGCCGCGGUAAGACGUAGGGGGCGAGCGUUGUCCGGAUUUAUUGGGCGUAAAGGGCUCGUAGGCGGUUACGUAAGUCGGAUGUGAAAACUCGAGGCUCAACUUCGAGACGCCAUCCGAUACUGCGUUGACUUGAGUCCGGUAGAGGAGUGUGGAAUUCCUAGUGUAGCGGUGAAAUGCGCAGAUAUUAGGAGGAACACCUAUUGCGAAGG
rnacentral:rRNA from 1 species